AGCACCUAUUGUGCAAUAAUAUGUAUUCAUAUUAUUCGCUAUUGUAAAUGGAAACUUCCUAAUGGUGUUGGAGUUUGCUAUGUUUUGGGAUGCUCUUCUGGGGUUAAUAUGCCGAGUCAUAAGUGUCCGAAAAAUCCUGAACAGAAAGGGACCAGAAAAAAAGGGUCACCAAAAAUUGGCGAAGAUUUAUUAAAGUAUACUGCAUCAGAAAAGCACGAUAUGGCGAGUCAUAAGUUUCCGAAAAAUCCUGACCAGAAAGGGAC